rnacentral:rRNA from 1 species
UACGAAGGGUGCAAGCGUUAAUCGGAAUUACUGGGCGUAAAGCGCGCGUAGGUGGUUCAGUAAGUUGGAAGUGAAAUCACCGGGCUCAACCUGGGAACUGCUUUCAAAACUGCUGAGCUAGAGUACGGUAGAGGGUGGUGGAAUUUCCUGUGUAGCGGUGAAAUGCGUAGAUAUAGGAAGGAACACCAGUGGCGAAGGCGACCACCUGGACUGAUACUGACACUGAGGUGCGAAAGCGUGGGGAGCAAACAGG